rnacentral:rRNA from 1 species
UGCCAGCAGCCGCGGUAAUACGGAGGGGGUUAGCGUUGUUCGGAAUUACUGGGCGUAAAGCGCGCGUAGGCGGAUUGGAAAGUUGGGGGUGAAAGGCCCGGGCUCAACCCGGGAACUGCCUUCAAUACUGAUAUGCUAGAGUCCGGGAGAGGGUAGUGGAAUUCCAAGUGUAGAGGUGAAAUUCGUAGAUAUUUGGAAGAACACCAGUGGCGAAGGCGGCUACCUGGCCCGGUACUGACGCUGAGGUGCGAAAGCGCGGGGAGCAAACAGGAUUAGAUA